rnacentral:rRNA from 1 species
CAUGCAAGUCGAACGAAGAGCGACGGAAGCUUGCUUCUAUCAAUCUUAGUGGCGAACGGGUGAGUAACGCGUAAUCAACCUGCCCUUCAGAGGGGGACAACAGUUGGAAACGACUGCUAAUACCGCAUACGAUCUAAUCUCGGCAUCGAGGAUGGAUGAAAGGUGGCCUCUACAUGUAAGCUAUCACUGAAGGAGGGGAUUGCGUCUGAUUAGCUAGUUGGAGGGGUAACGGCCCACCAAGGCGAUGAUCAGUAGCCGGUCUGAGAGGAUGAACGGCCACAUUGGGACUGAGACACGGCCCAGACUCCUACGGGAGGCAGCAGUGGGGAAUCUUCCGCAAUGGACGAAAGUCUGACGGAGCAACCCCGCGUGAGUGAUGACGGCCUUCGGGUUGUAAAGCUCUGUUAAUCGGGACGAAAGGCCUUCUUGCGAAUAGUGAGAAGGAUUGACGGUACCGGAAUAGAAAGCCACGGCUAACUACGUGCCAGC